rnacentral:rRNA from 1 species
UACGUAGGGGGCAAGCGUUGUCCGGAAUCAUUGGGCGUAAAGCGCGUGUAGGCGGCCCGGUAAGUCCGCUGUGAAAGUCGGGGGCUCAACCCUCGAAUGCCGGUGGAUACUGUCGGGCUAGAGUGCGGGAGAGGCGAGUGGAAUUCCUGGUGUAGCAGUGAAAUGCGUAGAUAUCAGGAGGAAUACCGAUGGCGAAGGCAGGUCUCUGGGCUGACACUGACGCUCAUGCACGAAAGCGUGGGGAGCAAACAGG